rnacentral:rRNA from 1 species
UACGUAGGGGGCAAGCGUUGUCCGGAUUUAUUGGGCGUAAAGAGCGUGUAGGCGGCUAGAUAGGUCCGUUGUGAAAACUCGAGGCUCAACCUCGAGACGCCGAUGGAAACCCUCCAGCUAGAGUCCGGAAGAGGAGAGUGGAAUUCCUGGUGUAGCGGUGAAAUGCGCAGAUAUCAGGAAGAACACCCGUGGCUAAGGCGGCUCUCUAGUACGGUACUGACGCUGAGACGCGAAAGCGUGGGGAGCGAACAGG